CAGUCGCCGCGGUAAUACGUAGGCGGCAAGCGUUGUCCGGAAUUAUUGGGCGUAAAGGGCUCGCAGGCGGUUUCUUAAGUCUGAUGUGAAAGCCCCCGGCUCAACCGGGGAGGGUCAUUGGAAACUGGGAAACUUGAGUGCAGAAGAGGAGAGUGGAAUUCCACGUGUAGCGGUGAAAUGCGUAGAGAUGUGGAGGAACACCAGUGGCGAAGGCGACUCUCUGGUCUGUAACUGACGCUGAGGAGCGAAAGCGUGGGGAGCGAACAGGAUUAGAUACCCCUGUAGUCCCUGUCUCUUAUAC
rnacentral:rRNA from 1 species